rnacentral:rRNA from 1 species
UACCUGCAGCUCAAGUGGUGACCGCUAUUAUUGGGCCUAAACGUUCGUAGCCGGUCUGAUAAAUGCUUAGGUAAAUCGUGUAGCUUAACUAUACGAAUUCUGGGUAGACUGUCAGACUUGAGACCGGGAGAAGCUAGAGGUACUCCUGGGGUAGAGGUGAAAUUCUGUAAUCCUAGGGGGACCACCAGUGGCGAAGGCGUCUAGCUAGAACGGGUCUGACGGUGAGGGACGAAGCCCUGGGGCGCAAACCGGAUUAGAUACCCGGGUAGUCCAGGGUGUAAACGCUGCUUGCUUGAUGUUAGUCGGGCUUCGAGCCCGAUUAGUGUCGGAGCGAAGGUGUUAAGCAAGCUGCCUGGGAAGUACGGUCGCAAGACUGAAACUUAAAGGGAAUUGGCGGGGAGCACAGCAAUGGGUGGAGCGUGCGGUUU